AGCUUGUCUGAGUGCAGUGGUGUUUACAACUGGUUGAUCACUACUGCUUACAGAUUUCUUUGUUCUUUCUCUACUCUCACUACUUUACUUGACUAACCAAAA
ensembl:Y_RNA Y_RNA Y RNA